AGAAUCAACGCUGGCGGCGUGCCUAACACAUGCAAGUCGCACGAGAAAGGGGAGCAAUCCCUGAGUAAAGUGGCGCACGGGUGAGUAACACGUGAAUAAUCUACCUCCGAGUGGGGAAUAACUGAGAGAAAUCUUAGCUAAUACCGCAUAACACUUACGAGUCAAAGCAGCAAUGCGCUUGGAGAGGAGUUCGCGGCCGAUUAGUUAGUUGGCGGGGUAAUGGCCCACCAAGACUAUGAUCGGUA
rnacentral:rRNA from 1 species